rnacentral:rRNA from 1 species
CACGUAGGGGGCAAGCGUUGUCCGGAUUUAUUGGGCGUAAAGAGCUCGUAGGCGGCUCAGUAAGUCAGGUGUGAAACCUCCAGGCUCAACCUGGAGACGCCACCUGAUACUGCUGUGGCUAGAGUCCGGUAGGGGAGCGUGGAAUUCCUGGUGUAGCGGUGAAAUGCGCAGAUAUCAGGAGGAACACCAGCGGCGAAGGCGGCGCUCUGGGCCGGAACUGACGCUGGGGAGCGAAAGCGUGGGUAGCAAACAGG